UCGCUUCUCUUCAAUCAAAUUCGAUUGGUCAUAACGACUCUGAAUCCAUUCAGCAUCAGUCAACUAGGGACUUUGAGGGUGCUAUUUUUCUUUUGUUUCUUUCUUUCUUUUUCUUUCUUUUGAUUUUGAUUGUGAUUUUUUCUUAUUUUGCACCCUCCUCUUUUUGUAUUUUUUUUUUGUUUGUUUUAAUGCCCCAGUUGGCUGUUCUGCUGAUUCUCGAGAUGCAGCUGAGUAAUCUUCUUUUCUUGCUCAAGAAGUCGGGAAAUACCGUCAGGAAUCCCUUCAACAUCAUCUUCUUCCGCUUCGAAUACAGGGAAUUCAAAAUUGG
rnacentral:lncRNA from 1 species